AAGGCUUUAGCUUAAUUAAAGUGUCUGUUUUGCAUACAGUAGAUGUGGGCUAAUUACCUGCAAGUCUUA
rnacentral:tRNA from 1 species